AUCUGUUGUAAGCUGCACACAACUAUUAUUAAAUGGUGAGGCUUUAGGGUUAUUUUGGAUCGUGGAAUAAAGGGCAGGAAAUGAUGAGUGGAGCCUGGGGAAUACAAAAUCUGAUUUCAGAGAAACCAGAGCUUACUUCAAAGAAAAGAGCAACUCUCUCCAGCUGAUAAGAUAUUUCCUGAAAGAAAACAACUACCAAGUCAGAAACACACUAGUGAUAUCUCCCGUUAGUCUUCUACAAUCCUUCUCAGAACUUUAUUUGAUUAAAUAAAGGUUUUCCCCACUUA